GGCUCGAUGGCGGACGGUCCGCGUCUGCAUUGCAUCCGUCCGAUUUGUGUGCCGUGUAUGCGGAAUGUCCCCGUUCGACUCGGGGUCGAGCCA